AAUGAUGAGCCUGAGUUAAAGGACUAUCGUGAUAGGAUAAAAUAUGUAGUACAAAGCAAACUACCUUCAUUA
rnacentral:tRNA from 1 species